rnacentral:piRNA from 1 species
UCCAUUGUUAGCCCAGGGUUUUCCUG